AUUGAACGCUGGCGGCGUGCCUAACACAUGCAAGUCGCACGCGAAAGGGAGCAAUCCCGAGUAGAGUGGCGGACGGGUGAGUAACGCGUAGGAAUCUACCUAGUAGUGGGGGACAACCCGGCGAAAGCCGGGCUAAUACCGCAUACGACCUAAGGGUGAAAGCCGGGGAUCGCAAGACCUGGCGCUAUUAGAUGAGCCUGCGUCCGAUUAGCUAGUUGGUGAGGUAACGGCUCACCAAGGCAACGAUCGGUAACUGGUUUGAGAGAACGACCAGUCACACUGGGACUGAGACACGGCCCAGACUCCUACGGGAGGCAGCAGUGGGGAAUCUUGGACAAUGGGGGCAACCCUGAUCCAGCGACG
rnacentral:rRNA from 1 species